rnacentral:lncRNA from 1 species
GGCUAACCUUAAAUAUUGAGUCGGCUAAGUGAAAACUCUAAGAUGACUCAGUAGCAGAUGCCAAAAUUCCAUCAUUCUGUCUGUUCUAUUUAUCUGAGUCAGCUCUCUUCUUAGUUGGCUAACUUGAUUACUUGAUCGGCUAACUGAUUCUCUAGAUUGGUUCAAAAAACUUACUGAUUUAUAUUAUUUUUUAUGUUCUUCUGUCUUUAAGGCUAAGUCGGCUAUCUUUCUUCUUAAGUCGACUGAGCUCCAAUCUUGGUCGGUUAACUUGAACACAAGAUCGACUCAAAAAAAUACUUUGAAUCUUUAUCUUUCUGUCUUCAUCCUGAGUCUGAGACUUAGUCGGUUAUCUAAAAGCUUAAGUCAGCUAAGAUCCUAUCUUGAUCGACUAAGAUAAAGGCUUGGUCGACUAAGACCCUAUCUACAUCCAAAAAACUUAUUGCAAUAAUAACAAAUAAAAAUAUAUAGAAUUAAAGUUUAGGAGCAAGAUCUAUUGCGUAUCAAGCAAUUGAUCCAGAAAAAUCUUCAGAUUCCAUUGCGUAUUAAAGAGCAAAUUUUAAUAGUCAAAUUUCUAUUGCGUAUUAAGCAAUUGAUCCAGAAAAAUCUUCAGAUUCGAUGUGGAUCAUUUUCACCACCAUAGACAUGAUCAAAAUAAGAUUUAGAAGCA